rnacentral:lncRNA from 1 species
UAAUCAAUCCAUAAAUGAAAAAGAAAAACAGAGAUUAUUGAUUAUCAGAAGAAGACACAGAUAAUUAUAUCUGAGCGAGCCAUAAAUUACAAAACGAGCUCAAACAUACAAGAACACACACCAAGCUCCAAAAUCAAGAACAACACAAAAGUAAAACAAGCCACAAUAGUUACCAAACUAUAGUCAUUGAUUAUGUACAUGUAACGAAACAAGACUUUGUUGGUAGCGGCUCUUCAACAUAGAGAGAAAGAGAAUAUGACCCGUAGCACAGAGAAAACCAGAACACAGAAAGAACCAUAAAUUGAAACCCCAAACACAUGAACACAGAUGGAAAGACUCAGAAAAAAAUCAAACCAGAGAUAAGAACAAUCUUAAUCGAGGACUAAUCAGAACAAUCAUUUAUCCCCAAUUCAAAACCCUAACACUGAAACCAAUUGAAACCCUACUCGAUGACUAAUACAGAACAAUAAAUAGCAGAAGAAGAAGAGAGAACGAUGAUUCGCGAGUUGUUCG